GUCAGUGGCAACUUGGUCGGGUCUGCUUCCACGCUGUGGAGGCUUUGUUUUUUACUCUUUGCAGUAAAUCUUGCUGCUGCUCACUCUUUGGGUCCGCACUGCUUUUGUGAGCUGUAACACUCACGGAGAAGGUCUGCAGCUUCAUUUCUGAGCCAGCGAGACCACCAGCCCGCCAGGAGGAAGAAACGCCAAACACAGCUGAACAUCAGAAGGAACAAACUCCUAACACGCCGCCUUUAAGAACUGUAACACCUCGAGGGUCCGCGGCUUCAUUCUUGAAGUCGCAGAGACCAAGAACCCACCAAUUCCGGACACAAAUGCAUCAUUGCACUCCAGCCUGGGUGACAGAGUGAAACCCUGUCUCAAAAAUAAGCUUCCAUUGACGACCAGCUUUGGCUGUUCCAACUCACCACAGCCUCUGAAAGACCCAUGCUCUCUUUGGAUUGCUUGGUACCUGCAGCACGUUUCCAUGCCUGGGAGGGAGAAUAAGAGUAAGUGAACAGUUUACUCUUACUGGAACAUUCCAAUGCUCUUACAGAUAAUAACUAAGUGAAUGAAAACAAAAAGUUCAGGCAUUCACUGGCAAAAUCCAACUCUGAACAGAACGCACGUCAUGGUGAGAGUACUUUGGUCACCACGGGAAACACAACCAACCAAGUGUUUUGCCAAGAGACACAGAUCAGAACGCGCAUCACAACACUGCAUGGCUCAUUCAGUGCAGGUUGCCACAGGUCUACAGUCACAUGGUUAAUGAAAAUCCAAAACAGGACCAACAGGAUGACACCUUUUCUGUUCUUAAUGCUCAUUGCCAUUAUUGCUAGAUCUCACUCUGUAGCCCAGGAUGGAGUGUCGUGGCCAGAUCUCGGCUCAAUGCAGCUUUGACCUCCCCAGCUCAAGUGAUCCUCCCACCUCAGCCUCCCGAGUAACUGGGACCACAGGUAAGGACCACAAGUCUCAGAAGAGUAGGAAGUGCCCAGCAUCACACAGGAAGCAAGUUACAGAACCAAGGGCUCUGUUCGUAAACUCUUCAACAUCUUUUAUCACAUAAGGGCUCAUAGGUCCAACUAACUGAAAGCCUCAAUUUGUGGGAAGAAGAGAAGCGAGGCUGGGGACACAGCACAAACGGUGUUUACGCCACUGAAGUUCUUUUGAAAUGGAAAGGCUCUGCAUGAAGAAGCGAACAGUUAUGCCACUGCCUCGCCAAUUCCAGUGAGGAGCUCAUCUUCAAUGUAGUGUUCAACGUAGGUGGCAAAACUGUAAUUUUUCCCUUUUUUGAAACUAUUUUUUCUUCUUUUAUUUUUGAAAUUCUCAUCUAAGCGACAGUUUCUUGUACUAUAGUGACUCCUGCUGGGAGAGGUAAGUUGAAGUAGCUGAAGGUCUCUUACAGAUAUAUCAACUCCCGGCCAGUAAAAAAGAUGUCCUAAACGCAGGAGAUGGAGUUAAACUGUUCCCCUACCUUGGACGCAAUGGCUUCUUUCAUCACUAAGAACAAACCCCUAGGUUUUACAAUUGAGACUGAGAAACUAGUACAGUACUUGUACAAUUUUUGAUCUACAGCAUCACGACGUGAAGCUGCAACAAUUAGAUGUAAAGGGUCCAUUCAUGAGGAAUAACAUCACUUUGACCCUUUGUGUUAGCUCCUACUGCUAAUCUUUCCAUAAGCGUGAACUUACUUUCAAUUUGAAGAAGAUGAAAAAGUCUUUUGCAAAACCCCAAUACUGUUUUCUGAUCUAUGUACCUGAAUGGAGAAACGUAGUCUUACCUCGUUUUUUUCCACUACAAGCCAAGCUACUUGUAAUCCUUCCAAACCUUUAAAGGGGACCUCCCUUGUUAGCAUCUCCCAGAGAACCUGGAACAAAAAGAAAAUGGAAUUUUUAUUCUUGUACUUUAUAUUUUUUGGUACAUAUUACUGAAACUUUAUCUAACAUGUAAUUGUAUCUAAUUACCAGACACAACCAACCCCAACUGUAGAAACUUGGGCAAAACAAUUAAGCACACAACUUCUUCCAUAUAUUAAAUACUUUUUACGUUCUUUUUUAUAAAGAAAAAACCUGGUUUAGAAAUUAGGACAUCUAGAGCCAGACUUAAAAUUUUAUGAAACCAAUGGGCCUGACUGAUUUAAUGUCAUCUCAUAAAUUAUCAGAAUUUUUAUGUUCUCACAAAUUAGAUUGUGUAUUUUGUUAGUUAAAACUCUUUCUACCUUCAAUUUCUGAUACAUUUGUCUAGGAAAUAAUAACUGGGAAUUCAACAAUAUUUUAAAAGGUUCAAUAAUGGUCUCAUCAAAAAUAACUGAGCCCCAAAUCCAAAUCACUGGCUAACCUACCUACCCCACAAUGGUAGAUACUUGCAAAAUUGUAAUAUUUAGAUUUUACAUGUUACAUUUUAGAUUUUGGAGAAAUCUCCCGCAAAAUGAGUCGGUCUAAGGGAUCUAUUUUCAUCUACCUACAAUAUAAUCUAUUAUACCAUACUCUAAGAUGUAAUAAACACUUUCUAUACAUAUAAGCUGACUACGUGAAAGUGAGCUUAUGUGUGUGUUCAUCUUUGUGCAGUUCUUGAGAUCAGUAUGAUUAUUAAAUCUGAGUGGAAUGCCCAAAGAAAGCAAAUUGAUGCUAGGAAUACUGCUGAUUUUGGGUUCUCUUGAAACACUGAGUAAUGGAGAUUUGUAUACUAUGUUACUUUUCCCUGUUUAUACAAAUGGAGUUCAAAAAUGUGAGUCUACCAAUACUCUGUAAAGUGCAAAAACAAUUCUAGUUUUAUCAGUAAUAGUCCUAAUAAUAAAAACCACCACCGCUUAUUGAG